AUGUACCCCGCGUACACUGCGGUUCCUGCGCGCCGCCAAUGCCCACCUGACGACUGCUCGCUACGUCUUGUUAGCC
rnacentral:sRNA from 2 species